UACGUAGGGGGCAAGCGUUGUCCGGAAUCAUUGGGCGUAAAGAGCGUGUAGGCGGCCCGGUAAGUCCGCUGUAAAAGUCAAAGGCUCAACCUUUGAAUGUCAGUGGAUACUGCCGGGCUAGAGUCCGGAAGAGGCGAGUGGAACUCCUGGUGGUAGCGGUGGAAUGCGCAGAUAUCAGGAAGAACACCACGGCGAAGGCAGCUCGCUGGACGGUACUGACGCUGAGACGCGAAAGCGUGGGGAGCGAACAGGAUUAGAACUACGUAGUCAGAC
rnacentral:rRNA from 1 species